CCCAUGAGACUCAACCUUGUUUUACCUUAAUUAUCAUGGUGUGCCUGUUUUUAGAAUAGCUCACCAUUUUGUUAGUGGCAAUAAAAUGCAUCUUUAGGCACACCUAUAGCGCACAUGUGAUGAUGUACAGAUGAAAGAAAGAUCUUAGAAGUUGAGAAGCCGAGAGCUGGAGGAAUAAGGAGAAGCUAAAAAGACAGAAGAAGUCAGAGCAUGUGGAGCUGUUGGGCAAGCAGAGUUCUAUCUGGGUAUUUAGGUAGAUGAGGAUAAAAGGGAAAAGGAAAAUGUUGACGAUAUAGCUACUCAAUGCUGAGAAUGUUGCCUGCAUACUUUGUUGCCUAUAUAUCAUCGGCUUUGUAUUGAUCCAGGCAAGAACAAUCAGAUGGAACAAGUUUGCUACGGGUGGGUGUGCAUCAAGUUGCUUCGUUGCCGGCGGCGAGUAAUCUCACACAUGUUUAUGGUGCAUAUGUACCGGAAAAUUCAAAUGGUACUACCCGAUGUGCCUUUCAUACGAAACAGUUUAUGCUUAUGGGUGUUCAUCUUUGUUUCUGUAUACAGCUUACGGCUUUUUUGUUGAUCCCUUCCCUGUAGGUUCUGAUCAUACGUACGAGGGGAAUCAGGUAGGGCUUGAUGCGCCUUUCAUACGAAAUGUUGAUGAGAAUUACCCAAGUAGUCCAGGACGCAGUGACAUGCAAGGCGAGGGAAAUUGAAGCCAAAACAUGCAGGACGGCCAGGAGUGUGCCAUUUUUUCUAUGACAGGGGGUGGUUCUUCAAUCUUCAGGGAAUCAAGUGGUAGCAUCAGAUACUGACAUGCAUGGAAGCAGUAAACAUUGAUAAGAGUACAAGCAUUGGAGGAGUACUCACCACGUUCGAGGAAGUCGUCAUCAUGGUGGUGGUGGUCGAGGAAGUCGUAGGUGCUG